rnacentral:antisense_RNA from 1 species
GCGCAGGCGCAGGCGCAGAGGCCGACACCACCGGGCGGCUGGUAUGUGUCCACCGGCCCCUAGGCUCCUCGAGCCCCGUCCCUGGGAGACGCAGGCUCCUGCCCGCGGAGCUGCUCCGAGACCCGCGGGAGGGCACCUCCGGUCACCCGAGCCGCAAAUCCCCGCCGUCCGAAGAAGGUGUCGCCCCGGGCUGGCGGCCCAGCGUGGCUUAGGCCAGGUACAACCGGCAGCGCCCGCCAAGCCCUGGGCUAGGGACGCCUGCGGGAGUUCACGGGGAGGCGCCGGUGUCUGAGGUCUGAGAAGACAGCGGCCACCGGAAAAGGUGCUAAUGUUUGCAGACCCCGAUCCAUCGACACCCCAAGGAAAUGCUGUGCACAAAAUUCCAAGAGGGCCUUUUCGAAUAGACGCAUGAACGGUGUUUGUGUCUGGAUCGUCCAGCCUCCCGGGAUCGAUUGGGAAUCUAGCUUCUGCUUGCCUUUCCAGUGCGACGCACAGUAGGAGCCUAAUAAAUGUUUGUUGAAUGAAUGCUGAAUAUCGAA